CAUAGACAGUGGCUUGGUUAAGGGAACCCACUGAAACCGUAAUGAAUACGAGUCUUCAUAGGGAAAUAUUCAUUGCUUAUGGACCCAAACUUGGGUAAUCUAUCUAUGACCAGGAUGAAUCUUGAGUGAAACUAAGUGGAGGUUUAAACCAAUUGAUGUUGAAGAAUCAACUGGAUGAGUUGCGGCUAGGGUUGAAAUGCUACUCGAACGCAAAAUUAGUUGG
rnacentral:ncRNA from 1 species